CCCUCCCACUGUGAAGAUCCAGGUAUGGGGUUCACCUGAGGAAGGGAUUUUGGGGUGUCCCAGCGGGGCUGUGAACCCAUCCCCAGGUCUGGGAGAUUUUGGGGUGCCUUGGGGCAUUUUUGGGGUGCUUUGGGUGGUUUUUGGGGCGCCUUGGGUGGUUUUUGGGCUGCUUUGGGUGGUUUUUGGGGUGCGUUUGGGACUCACCUGCCCAGGUGUUCCCCUCCCAGUGUGAAGAUCCAGGUGUGGGGUUCACCUGAGGAAGGGAUUUUGGGGUGUCCCAGUGGGGCUGUGAACCCAUCCCCAGGUCUGGGAGUUUUUGGGGUGCCUUGGGUGGUUUUUGGGGCUGCCUUGGGGCAUUUUUGGGGUGCUUUGGGUGGUUUUUGGGGUUCCUUGGGUGGUUUUUGGGGUGCGUUUGGGACUCACCUGCCCAGGUGUGCCCCUCCCAGCCCAAGGUGGUGUGGCUGAAGAACCAGGUGGCCAUCGGGGAGGACCCCAAAUUCCUGGCCAGGCACAGCCAGGGGGUCCUGACCCUCCUGAUCCGCAAGCCGGGACCCUUCGACGGUGGCACCUACACCUGCAGGGCCGUCAACGAGCUGGGCGAGGCCCUGACCGAGUGUCGGCUCGAGAUUCGGGUGCCUCAGUGAUGGUGAUGAAAAAUGCCCAGCACCGUCCUGCACAGCCAGGAGGAG